UACAGAGGUCUCAAGCGUUGUUCGGAUUCAUUGGGCGUAAAGGGUGCGUAGGCGGCGCGGUAAGUCGGGUGUGAAAUCUCGGGGCUUAACUCCGAAACUGCAUUCGAUACUACCGUGCUUGAGGACUGGAGAGGAGACUGGAAUUUACGGUGUAGCAGUGAAAUGCGUAGAUAUCGUAAGGAAGACCAGUGGCGAAGGCGGGUCUCUGGACAGUUCCUGACGCUGAGACACGAAGGCCAGGGGAGCAAACGGG
rnacentral:rRNA from 1 species